rnacentral:pre_miRNA from 9 species
UCUCGAUAGCGUAAAGGUUAACUCAAACUUGUAUGGAGUUGGAACGUUCGCCUACGUUUGCCAUUAGAGACGUGGUCACAACUGCGUACAAAUUUGAGUUAACUUUUACGCUACCCA